rnacentral:rRNA from 1 species
GACAGAGGGGGCAAGCGUUGCUCGGAAUCACUGGGCGUAAAGGGCGCGUAGGCGGGAUGGCAAGUCAGUCGUGAAAUCUCUCGGCUCAACCGAGAAACGUCGGCUGAUACUGCCGUUCUUGAGGGAUGCAGAGGAGACUGGAAUUCCCGGUGUAGCGGUGAAAUGCGCAGAUAUCAGGAGGAACACCGGUGGCGAAGGCGGGUCUCUGGGCAACAACUGACGCUGAGGAGCGAAAGCGUGGGGAGCGAACAGG